ensembl:ncRNA Y55F3BR.17 ncRNA
UCAAGCACGGUUUUCCUCAGACGGGUAAACGGCAAUAGGAAAUCAUCACAGCCGUCACUCACUGCGCUGCACUUUGGAGUGUGUCGGCGCGGCGGCCGACACCUCCCGAGUUCCGCGGUGCGCUGUGUGUUGUGUG